rnacentral:lncRNA from 1 species
UGCCCAAGGACACACAGCUGGUGGCUAGGCCAGACCCUGGAUCUGUAAGAAAAAGUAGCCCAUGAUCACAUCAACACCUCCCACAGUUCUCAAGGUCGGGCAAAGUUAUGGGAGUGGCGGUAAUGAGGAUGAUGUCAGGGCACAGCUGGAGGAGCCUCAUGUGAUGGCAAUCGCUUCUCAUCAGCCCCGAUGAGGCCAGAGGACAGAAAGUGGAAAGAGGAAUGACUAAAACUGGAUGAUAAAUUUGAAAAUCUCAUCACAGUUUAAUGAGCUGCCCGUUUUUAAUGCCCUCCUCUGUUACACAUUACAUUCUGCACAAGGUGAGAUUCAGUCGCACACAUAACAACAUCAGUUCAGGAAAAUGUUUAGAAGACGGAGCAUCAGGAUGAGUGAGCAGAACGCAGGAGCUGGGACGGGCAAUUGUGUGCCAGUGAUGCGUUAAAUGGGGGGACACGUCCUGGUGGGCUCCCUCCCUCCCAGCGUGCUCAAGAGAAUUCAUGUUAUCAGGAUGAGCUGAACAUCCCAGCUAAAUAUCCUACAGUAACUCACUUUCGUAUUAGAAAACUCCAUUCCCAGCAGUGAAAGAGAGUCACCAGUGAGAAGCAUUUCUGACUUCAUUCUGCUUACAUGGGUUAUUUAUUUACCCCAAUUGACUCUAUCCUGGGAUAGAACUCCAAAUUAAUUGGGCCUUUUAAGCAUCAUUCUUCUUUCAAAGGCAAAAGUGCAAAGGAGAUUUUACACAUUUGGCCUCAUUCUGUGUUGACUGGAGGUUGAUGCUGCCUGUUGCUUAUACAUAAAUGUUCUCUAGGUCAAGAUUAUCACGCUAAAGGCAACACACCUAAUUUGAUGCCACUCAAUGCAAUCAGGGGUGCACCUGUCUGCUGUUACAUUGAUUGGAAUUUGGCUUGCUUUUUAUUGUACUUCAUAUUUAUUUAUUUGCUUUUUGAGAUUGUUCCCAGUAGGAAUGGGACCUUCCUGAGCCUACAGUAAGCUAAAAUGCAAUGUCGCCAUUCACAGAGACCUGAAUGAAUACAGUCAGAAAAGAUGUCUCCUCCGUGGGUCCACAACUCUCUGGAUCUUCUCCAAGUUGUUGUGAAGAGAAGGUGAUAGGAUUCAGGAAUGGAAGAUCUCUGUGACCAUCAGCACUCUGAACUUCUCCUUCCCACUUCAGAGCAUUCACUGAUGAUAGGAGGUGCACCUGGACAAAGAUGAGCUCAGAUGUCCCCCACCUGGACACUCCUUCUAGGGUCAAGGAGCGUAAAAGUCCUACAGUAUAAUCACAAGGUUAAAACUAAUCCCUAAGGAUAUUCUCAGCAAUUACACCUUUAUAAUGUCAAUAGUCCACUCUGAACAAGUUAAACCUUCCUGCCCAUUAAUUUUCAAGAGGCCUAAGAAAUCAGGUGUAUGUCUGUUUUCGUUCCAUUUUGCUCUGUGCUAUCUCAAGCCUCUGCUUCAUCUAGGUGGAAUUCAAAAGGAGAAAAUGAACAGAAAGGCAAACAAUGCUCCUUAGAGUCUUCCAGAAACUGUAGACUGAAACUCUAUGUUCUAUUAACCUGGUUUGAAUGGAUUGGGGAUUUAUUUUUUUUUCAUAGAAAAGAAGUAAAAGGGAAAUCUGCUAUUAUAUCAGAAAUACAUUGCUCUCUCAGCCCUUUUCAUGUCUUUGUGAUGAUCAGAUUUUUCUAAUCUUUUCAGCAGUGUUCUUAAUAUAUUACAGAAUAAAUCCAGCAAUGGAAAGUUUAAAUUUAAAAGCUGACACUAGGAAAGCUAAGCAUUCACAAGACAGGUUACAAUGAAACUGCCUUGCUGCAAAC